GUAUAGGGAUGGGAACUUAACUGG
rnacentral:piRNA from 1 species